CCUUCUUUCAUUUUUUUUAAGACAGGGUCUCACUCUGUAGCCCAGGCUGGCCUUGAACUCAGGGAUCCUCCUGCCUCAGCCUCCCAAGUGCUGGGAUUACAGCCAUGGGCCACCACGCUCAGCAAGAUGUUUCUGCUUGAAAUGCAGUUCCAGCUGCAGCAGGCCUGGUGGAGACAGACGGUGGCUGGCAAGAGUGGCACAGCCCAAGCCUGCAGCUCUGCCCCUCUGCACGGGCACCAUGUGGCUAGGAAUUUGUUUCUUGGUUGAGUAACAUUUUUGAUGAAAUAAGCAACAAAACGCAGGGCAUCAGAAUGACCGCUGCAGUAAUGAAACAAUUGAGAUGCCCACCAAAGACAGCUGGAAAUCGGACAACGAAGAUGGAGAAGACUUAACAGUUUUAAUAAACUGGAACCAAGUGACAACACGCGUAGUUCAGUUUUGCCGUGCUCUGGCCUGAGUUUGAAGCUGGAAUACUUGUAGCAGUUUGAGUAAGGAGUGUCUAGGAGUGGCUCUCUGAGUUUUUCCUGCUUGAAGUAGAAGAUUAGUAUUGUUUACAAUAUUCCACAAUUUGGGGCCGUUAUUUCAAGAAUUUUUCUGUGCCUGCUCUGCUCUCUG
rnacentral:lncRNA from 1 species